UACGUAGGGUGCAAGCGUUGUCCGGAAUUAUUGGGCGUAAAGAGCUCGUAGGCGGUCUGUUGCGUCGGCUGUGAAAACCCGAGGCUCAACCUCGGGCCUGCAGCCGAUACGGGCAGACUAGAGUUCGGCAGGGGAGACUGGAAUUCCUGGUGUAGCGGUGAAAUGCGCAGAUAUCAGGAGGAACACCGGUGGCGAAGGCGGAUCUCUGGGCCAUUACUGACGCUGGGGAGCGAAAGCGUGGGGAGCGAACAGG
rnacentral:rRNA from 1 species